CUGGCUCAGGAUGAACGCUGGCGGCGUGCCUAAUACAUGCAAGUCGAACGAGUUCUCGUUGAUGAUCGGUGCUUGCACCGAGAUUCAACAUGGAACGAGUGGCGGACGGGUGAUUUAACACGUGGGUAACCUGCCCUUAAGUGGGGGAUAACAUUUGGAAACAGAUGCUAAUACGGCAUAGAUCCAAGAACCGCAUGGUGCUUGGCUGAAAGAUGGCGUAAGCUAUCGCUUUUGGAUGGACCCGCGGCGUAGUUAGCUAGUUGGUGAGGUAAUGGCUCACCAAGGCGAUGAUACGUAGCCGAACUGAGAGGUUGAUCGGCCACAUUGGGACUGAGACACGGGCCAAACUCCUACGGGACAGUAGGGAAUCUUCCACAAUGGACGCAAGUCUGAUGGAGCAACGCCGCGUAUUAGUGAAGAAGGCUUUCGGGUCGUAACCUUCUCUGUUGUUGGAGAAGAAUGGUCGGCAGAGUAACUGUUGUCGGCGUGACGGUAUCCAACCAGAAAGCCACGGCUAACUACGUGCCAGCAGCCAUACGUAGGUGGCAAGCGUUAUUAAAUCCGGAUUUAUUGGGCGUAAAGCGAGCGCAGGCGGUUUUUUAAGUCUGAUGUGAAAUUCCCUCGGCUUAACCGAGGAAGCGCAUCGGAAACUGGGAAACUUGAGUGCAGAAGAGGACAGUGGAACUCCAUGUGUAGCGGUGAAAUGCGUAGAUAUAUGGAAGAACACCAGUGGCGAAGGCGUUCUGUCUGGUCUGUAACUGACGCUGAGGCUCGAAAGCAUGGGUAGCGAACAGGAUUAGAUACCCUGGUAGUCCAUGCCGUAAACGAUGAAUGCUAGGUGUUGGAGGGUUUCCGCCCUUCAAAGUGCCGCAGCUAACGCAUUAAGCAUUCCGCCUGGGGAGUACGACCGCAAGGUUGAAACUCAAAGGAAUUGACGGGGGCCCGCACAAGCGGUGGAGCAUGUGGUUUAAUUCGAAGCAACGCGAAGAACCUUACCAGGUCUUGACAUCUUUUGAUCACCUUUAGAGAUCAGGUUUCCCCUUCGGGGGCAAAAU
rnacentral:rRNA from 1 species